CCCUGUGCCGUCAGCCGAUCCCUCCCGCCGCGGUAAAUCAGCUCACUGAAGGAGGUCCUGGGGGAGGAAAGCGUUUAGGAGGGAAUGGGACAGUGUCAAGUGAGGUAAGGGCCGGAAGCAGUGGCGGGGCGGGGGUGUCACGCGGCCACACACACACACACACACACACAGACACACACACACACCUGGGACUCCUCACACCACCACGCCACACCGCCACCAUUUAAAACCUGCGGGAUAACAAUGCUCAGUUUCGCGAUAAAUCUCUGCGCCCGGUUCGUGUUUCCACUUGUGCCUUUUCGAGAGAAGUGUAGGCCGUCCGCCGCUCCAGGCUCGGGCCCGAAAAUCCGGCUGCGUGGCGUGUUAUUUGUGCUGAGGUAAUGAGAAUAAACAUACCUGGAUGAGUGUAGCAGCUGGAUGAGGCAGAGUGUCCCGUUGGAGGAGUGCCGGGGUGGAUAUUGCGCGAAGUGGCAUCCUUUCCUGCGCGGGACGAUCGAGGCAAGGGGACGCCAGGCGAGUCAUUGGCUCGGCGACCGCAGGGAGGGGCGGUGCUGUCAGUGUGGCGCUGGACUCUGUACGCACGUGAUGAACUUUAUCCUCGCCUGAGAUUACCCUGUGCUACGUGGAUGUUAGUAUUCGUGGUGCUGCGUCCAACUCACGCUUAGAAGGCCUUUGUGACGUGUAGCCUGGCCAAGGAUUUAGAAAUAAUCUCUCAGUGCUGGAAUUGGAUUUGUGAAAAAGGAGACCUCUCGUGUGGAGCAGGAAAGGAAAAAAAGAGGUGGUGUGCGGGAGACCAGUGGUGUGUGGUGAGCUGCCCCUCGUGGCUAACACAGAUCUCAAGCCUCGCAGUGGUUACCAAGGUCGCCUGUUUCACGGCACUUAUCAGAUAUUGAUUUAUAGCAGAGCAGUGAGAGAAACCCCUCCGAGAGAGAGCCCGCUUCCCGGUGAACCCCGACCAGUGAACCCAAACACAAACACGGCCGCUCUCAGGGUCACUGUGCACUGCCGGACCCGUGGUGGUGGUGGAGGUGGUGGGUAGCGGCAACGUGAGCCCCCGCCUCGGCAUGUCAGCCAUGUCACAGAUUAUGGACGCUACUUACUGCAUUGGAGGAGAUAUGGAUUUUGGCCGCAUGUUCGAUCAGUAUCUUCACAAGGUACGUUGGUGAGAUGGUGAUGCUGUGGUGAUGAUGCGGUGGUGCUGUGGCGGUGGUGAGUCUGUGGUGAUGUCCCUGUUUUUCCUCGUAGUUUUAGUGUUUGUGGUGACUGAUAACAGGUGAGUGAUACGCCUCUUAUUUCUGUUCUGUUAUCUUUCCUUUUGUUUCUUUCCUUCUCUCCUUCGGUUAUACUUGCAUUUCUUCCUCUUUUUUAUCCCCCUCUCUCCUCUUCCUCUUUCUUAUUCGGUGUCUACCACUUCGUCACACGCACAAUGCUAAGACCCAAACUGAAAAGAUGGAAAAGGAGAGUAGGUUUGAAGAAGAGAAAGGGGAACGAAGGAUAGAGUAAGAAAAGAAGGAUAGAGAGGAAGAGACAGAAAGUGAGAUGUAACGAAGAGGUUCAAAAGGAGAAGAGAGGAGGAGGGAAACAAAGGAGAAUGUAGGGGAAGGAUGGAGAGAGAGAGAGAGAUGAAGCGAAGAGUAAAGAAUAACUAAAGGAGAUAAGAAUUUGAAGGAGAGAAAGGGAAACAAAUGAUAACGCAAGAGAAGGAGGAUAGGGAGAACGAGAAAGAGAAUGAGAUGAAGCGAAGAGAGGAAGAAAGACAGAGAGAAAGAGAAGGAUACGAAGAAAUGAGUAAAGGAAGGAAGGGGGAAGAGGAGGCAAACUGAAAAUAACAUAAGAGAAGAACGCAGAGAAAGAGAAGAUUAAGCGAAAAGUUAAGAAAAGGAGAUGAAAAUUUAAGGAAGAUAAAGGUAAACGAA